GUUUCCCUACCAGAAAGCUUCUGCACUUUUGUUUCUCUGAUUUUAAGGCACACAUAACGAAAAUGUCUGCAUUGUCAGGGUUGCCAGUAUUACACGUUCAGUCAGUCAGAACUUUUGGUGCUGAUGUGAUUAGCAACACCAUGUGUGCACUUAUGAAGUUCGACAAAAUGCUUAUUAAGUUAGCAAAUUAUGUAGGGACUGAACUUUGUACUGAUUUUCUAUGUUGCAGAGGCAAUGUACCAGAAAGGCUGAUGCUUUGACAGUUACAGCUAAAUUUGAGCUGAAACCUCCUCCAUAUCCCAUGGAUGAUUUAGAGCCGCAUAUAAGGAGUCGUGGUACCUGUCGUCGUUGGUAAUAACAAUGUAGUUGGUGACGGAUGAGGUAGUAAUGGAGGUUAGAUCAAAGAAGAAAUGAGGAAUCAACUAAGAAGGGGAAGAAGAACAAGGGAACAAAGGGAAAUGAGGAUUUUUAUACCUAACACAAAAUGAUAUUUAUUAAAAAAAUAAAUGUCUUCUCACUCAGGUUCUGAGUAGACAUAACUGUUCAUUGAGUUUGACUAUGCUAAUUUCAACUUUGAUUUUUUCUUUAUAAAACCUAUGUUAAGUUUAGAGUUGAUCAGCGGGUGAUCGAGUUUAAUCGAAUCAAUUACAACUUUAUUUUUUGGCUUUGUAUAA